rnacentral:misc_RNA from 1 species
GAUGAAGAACGCAGCGAAAUGCGAUAAGUAAUGUGAAUUGCAGAAUUCAGUGAAUCAUCGAAUCUUUGAACGCACAUUGCGCCCCCUGGCAUUCCGGGGGGCAUGCCUGUUCGAGCGUCAUUACAACCCUCAAGCUCUGCUUGGUAUUUGGCUCUGCUGGGACCGGCAGGCCUUAAAAUCAGUGGCGGCGCCACUCGGCUUCAAGCGUAGUAAUUCUUCUCGCUUCGGAGACCCGGGUGCGUGCUAGCCAGCAACCCCCAACUUUCUUAGGUUGACCUCGGAUCAGGUAGGGAUACCCGCUGAACUUAAGCAUAUCAAUAAGCGGAGGA